CUGAGACAUGAGGUUCGCCAAGGAUAGCAUAAACUUCUUAUUGCAGUGCCCCCACUCUUCUGUGGUACAUGGGAACAUAUGUAGUCUUGGACACAGGCUAUGAAUACUGCAAUCAUCUCAAGUAGGAUCUUUGAGAAACUUGACUGUUACACAUCUAACACAAUGCCCUUAGAUGACUCUAGUAAUAAAGAUGCUAUGAAGUCAACGGCAUGCUGCAUUGUGACCAUCCAUUGUGUCAACAUUAGAUCCUUUGAUUUAUGUGUAGUAUUUUGUUAUGGUGUAUGCAUU